GCUGGUAUAGCUCAGUUGGUUAGAGCGUGUGGCUGUUAACCACAAGGUCGGAGGUUUUAGCCCUUCUUCUAGCG
rnacentral:tRNA from 1 species